GAAGAAUUUUAAAAACUUCGCUGGUAACACUUUAAACAAAAGAAGCGACUAAAACACUCCAAGUCGAAAAAUGUAUGCCGCUUGAAAAAUGACUAAAGGCAAUCAAAACGGUUAAAAAAAAAAGGUAAAGGUUCAAAAGAACCAAAACGAAAAAGAUUCUAUUAUACUUUUUAAAGAUACUUUUAAAAGAGAAUUAUACUUUAAUUUUCGUUUUUGUUUCUGUUCAUAAAACACUAUAAAAUAAAUUAGUCUAUGAAAAAUAACAUUGACUGCACUAGGCCAUGAAUUAAAUGGCGAGUAUUGCAAUAGUCAAUUUCCACUGAGCAGCAUCUGAGCACCAGCCGUUAAAAUAAAAAUCCUUUUAAAAAAAAAUGUUUAUCCGCCAUCCAAAUUUGACGUAGUUUAAUGUGUAAAUUACAUUAGCGAUAGUUAACUGAUGUUUCGUUUUUGCAACUCUGAUUAACUGACGUUAAGUGAUGUUUCGUUUUUUCGUUUUUUGUUGACAAGGAAGCCUUGAAAUGGCAAGGAUUAGAAUUAAAAAGAAUUAAAUUCUUCUUACGAGAAUUUCAUUCAAUCCAAAUUCCUUAGAAUAAAAAAUGUAAAAAGCGUAACAAGCUUAUAUCUUCCAAACUACCAAAGUUGGGUUAUUUCCGAUCGUUCAGUUAUAUGGCAGCUAUAAGAUAUACUCUGCCGAUUCUUAUGAAAUUUGUUAGGUCGAAUCAGUUGGCAAGAUACAUACACAUAUAGACUUUAUCAAGUCGGAAAUGCGAGACAAAUUUGGUGUUUCUUUGGUUUAAAACCCAAUGUAAAUGCUUGCCAAAGGUAUUUUUGGGCCUGCCGCGUUUUUUAUUCUGAGCACGGGCAGAAUAUCGAUAAAUUGAUAUUUUGAUAUACAUAAAAUCAAUAAGCCCUUUUAUUUUUGUUCCAUCUUGGCUCAACAUGUUGCGUUUUGGGUGUAUGAGUGGACGGACAGAGAUGAAAUAACAAAUAUCUCUUUCUGGCCCAACUGCACAAAACGCAAUAUGUCGUGUAAAGCGAGAGAUAAAUAGGAGACCCUAUAAAGCUAUCUUGCUCAGACGUAACUGCGCAACACCCAACUUUUUUCAUCUGACCGAGUAUGUUUAAUACAAAGCACGAAGCGAAAACCACGAAAACUUGAAAAAACGAAAAGAAAUGUAAAAUAAACCAUUUUUUCUUUUAAUACAGGCAGUUAGAGAUACUAAAAAAGUAUAUUAUAUUAUUCAUCUUCCCGAAUGUAUAAAAAUUUUUAGGGGUUGAAUGCAUUAGCUAUAGUAAUUAUUAUAUUUAAUUAUUCUAAAAAAAAAACAUAAAAAAGUUAAGUAUAAAAAAAAAAGAAGUGCAAUGUGAAAACAAUUUUUUCGUGAAUAGAAUUAUUGUGUGUAGCAAGUAAAUUAGUAUUUAUUUUGGAACAUAAAUUGGUACAUAUUCUUAUUUAUGAGUAAACAAAUAUGGAAGUAUGUAUGUAUGUUAUACAUAUGCAUGUAUACUUACAUAUGCCAAAAAUCAUGCGUACUCUUUUGUAUAUGAGUAUAUUUAGAUACAUAUGUAUGUACAUAUGUACCUAAGUAUAUUAAUGAAUAGACAAAAAUUAAAAUAAGAAAACCAUCCCAUGCUAACACUAUGUAUGUAUAUAUGUAUGUACAUAUGUAAGUAAAUACAUAUUUGAAUAUAUUUCGGAAAUUUGACUUUUGUGUAGUCUGCUA